rnacentral:rRNA from 1 species
CCUGGCGGCCGUAGCGCGGUGGUCCCACCUGACCCCAUGCCGAACUCAGAAGUGAAACGCCGUAGCGCCGAUGGUAGUGUGGGGCCUCCUCAUGCGAGAGUAGGGAACUGCCAGGC